CUGGGAGCGCGGCCUCGGAGUGAAGACUUGAAGAACAUCCAUCACGUUGGACAACUCUUUUCGUGGAAACCUCAGCAAUAGCCACAGAGAAUGCUGAAAUCCAGCGCACCAAGCAGAUUUUCCACGAGGCGACAAGACGGGGCCGGGAGGAGUGAAACAGCUUUCAAUGGUAAUCAGUGAAGAGAAUUCAUGCUUGGGUGAUUACCUGGUGUACUUUCAUCAACUCAACGGAGACCAAAGGGGCUGAAUGGAUCUCAGAUAUUUACCGAACCAACUGAGGUGCUCGGAUCCACUUCUUUUUCUUCAUUUGGUGGAAGGAUAUCUAAUAAUAAUAAAAGUGGCAAGGGGGAGCCCUGCUGAGAUAUCCGUGUUGUGUGGGUGUGGACCUAUGGAACAAUACGCACGGAAUUGAGGAAGCUCGGGGAGCUGUCUGAGCAGGCACAGAGAGAGAAUGUUUUACAGGAAAAGAAAAAGAGGUACAAACUGAGAGGCAGAUCGGAUACCUUGUGUGAAACCACCAGCACAUUUGGGCAAUGGAAGAGACGCAGCGUAGGCUGUGGCUGAGGCCCAUCCUUUACUUCCUCGGCACCUGACACUCCUGUCAGAUAUCACUGAUAAAUGCAGGUGAGGUGGAUGAUCUCGCUUUUCAAGCUGACUGAUGUUUCUUAAAGAAACUUAUGACCCAUAUCUUGGCCUGGUUAUUGGCAACCAGGAAAGUUUCCUUUCCAUAGGAAUAUGUGAAUCUUCAGGUCUCGGUUGUCUGGUUCAUUAGAUCUUCUGACAUCCAAGCAAAGGAACCAGACGGCACAGGACUGUGGAGCAGCAGCUGACCCAACACAAGGAGCACUGGUGUGCACCCGGCCCUGCCUCAUCACACACCCACUUGAAUCAGGUCACUUAACCUCGCCAAGUCUCACUAACCCCACCUGCAAAAGCGAGCACACACUUUGUGCCUUGGAGGAAGGGCAUGCAAACAGAAGAGAAAUCCUCAUACAGAAUCUGAAACAAGCACGCCAACUACACAAUGUAUUGUUCUGUCCCCUGUGCCCUUAGGCUUCCAAGUAAGAGUCUUUUUUGUCCAUUUGAGUAAUGGAAAUACCUUUCAUGGGCGUUGAAAUAUGUUUAUUAAAUCAUUUCUAUUUAUUUUCUCCUAAAUGUCACACUCACCACUGUCACAGUCAUAAUUAAUUAUAACUGCAAUUAAAACAUAGACUAACAUUGUCAGCCUGAAAAUGUAACCGGCAAACAGCCAUUGAUGAUUAAGCAGCUGGUAACUAUGGGGGAUUGGAAUUUGAGAACUCAAAAUA